UGGGAGCCCCACCACCAAAGCAUUCUCUGGUGUUGAAGGCCCUGCAAAGCAGCAUCGCGGUGGCGGAGCGUCGUUUGCGACGCCCAACACACAAAACAAGCGGUGAGUGCUUUGGGGUGGGGUGACUGCGUACCUUUUGUAUAAUGGGUCAGCGACUUAUAUUCUGUAGCAAGGUUAACCGAAUAGGGGAGCCGGAGGGAAACCGAGUCUUAAUUGGGCGUUAAGUUGCAGGGUAUAGACCCGAAACCCGGUGAUCUAGCCAUGGGCAGGUUGAAGGUUGGGUAACACUAACUGGAGGACCGAACCGACUAAUGUUGAAAAAUUAGCGGAUGACCUGUGGCUGGGGGUGAAAGGCCAAUCAAACCGGGAGAUAGCUGGUUCUCCCCGAAAGCUAUUUAGGUAGCGCCUCGUGAAUUCAUCUCCGGGGGUAGAGCACUGUUUCGGCUAGGGGGCCAUCCCGGCUUACCAACCCGAUGCAAACUGCGAAUACCGGAGAAUGUUAUCACGGGAGACACACGGCGGGUGCUAACGUCCGUCGUGAAGAGGGAAACAACCCAGACCGCCAGCUAAGGUCCCAAAGUCAUGGUUAAGUGGGAAACGAUGUGGGAAGGCCCAGACAGCCAGGAUGUUGGCUUAGAAGCAGCCAUCAUUUAAAGAAAGCGUAAUAGCUCACUGGUCGAGUCGGCCUGCGCGGAAGAUGUAACGGGGCUAAACCAU
rnacentral:rRNA from 1 species